rnacentral:rRNA from 1 species
GAUGAACGCUGGCGGCGUGCCUAAUACAUGCAAGUCGAGCGAACAGACGAGGAGCUUGCUCCUCUGACGUUAGCGGCGGACGGGUGAGUAACACGUGGAUAACCUACCUAUAAGACUGGGAUAACUUCGGGAAACCGGAGCUAAUACCGGAUAAUAUAUUGAACCGCAUGGUUCAAUAGUGAAAGACGGUUUUGCUGUCACUUAUAGAUGGAUCCGCGCCGCAUUAGCUAGUUGGUAAGGUAACGGCUUACCAAGGCGACGAUGCGUAGCCGACCUGAGAGGGGGAUCGGCCACACUGGAACUGAGACACGGCCCAGACUCCUACGGGAGGCAGCAGUAGGGAAUCUUCCGCAAUGGGCGAAAGCCUGACGGAGCAACGCCGCGUGAGUGAUGAAGGUCUGCGGAUCGUAAAACUCUGUUAUUAGGGAAGAACAAAUGUGUAAGUAACGAUGCACGUCUUGACGGUACCUAAUCAGAAAGCCACGGCUAACUACGU